rnacentral:rRNA from 1 species
GACGAACGCUGGCGGCGUGCUUAACACAUGCAAGUCGAACGGGGCCAGUGGUAGCAAUAUCGCUGGUUCAGUGGCGAACGGGUGCGUAACACGUGAGCAACCUGCCGAGAAGUGGGGGAUAGCUCGGGGAAACUCGAAUUAAUACCGCAUGAGGCUUCUGGGGGCAUCCCUAGAGCGCCAAAGGUGCCGCAAGGCAUCGCUUCUUGAUGGGCUCCCGACCUAUCGGCUUGUUGGCGAGGUAAAAGCUCACCAAGGCUCUGACGGGUAGCUGGUCUGAGAGGAUGACCAGCCACACUGGAACUGAGACACGGUCCAGACACCUACGGGUGGCAGCAGUCGAGAAUCAUUCGCAAUGGGGGAAACCCUGACGGUGCGACGCCGCGUGGAGGAUGAAGGUCUUCGGAUUGUAAACUCCUGUCAUCAAGGAGUAAGGCUGUCAUGUGAAUAGCAUGACAGUUUGCUAGUACUUGAAGAGGAAGGGACGGCCAAUUACGUGCCAGCCGCCGCAGUAAAAC